rnacentral:rRNA from 1 species
AUUGAACGCUGGCGGCAGGCCUAACACAUGCAAGUCGAGCGAGCGGCGGACGGGUGAGUAAUGUCUGGGAAACUGCCUGAUGGAGGGGGAUAACUACUGGAAACGGUAGCUAAUACCGCAUACCAUCAGAUGUGCCCAGAUGGGAUUAGCUAGUAGGUGGGGUAACGGCUCACCUAGGCGACGAUCCCUAGCUGGUCUGAGAGGAUGACCAGCCACAGUGGAACUGAGACACGGGCCAGAGUACAACGGGAGGCAGCAGUGGGGAAUAGGGCAAAAUGGGGGCAAGCCUGAUGCAGCAAUGCGGCGUGUGAGAAGAAGGCCUUCGGGUUGGAAAGCACUUUCAGCGGGGAGGCGUUACCCGCAGAAGAAGCACCGGCUAACUCCGUGCCAGCAGCCGCGGUAAUUC